rnacentral:rRNA from 1 species
GACGAACGCUGGCGGCGUGCUUAACACAUGCAAGUCGAACGGAAAGGCCCUGCUUUUGUGGGGUGCUCGAGUGGCGAACGGGUGAGUAACACGUGAGUAACCUGCCCUUGACUUUGGGAUAACUUCAGGAAACUGGGGCUAAUACCGGAUAGGAGCUCCUGCUGCAUGGUGGGGGUUGGAAAGUUUCGGCGGUUGGGGAUGGACUCGCGGCUUAUCAGCUUGUUGGUGGGGUAGUGGCUUACCAAGGCUUUGACGGGUAGCCGGCCUGAGAGGGUGACCGGCCACAUUGGGACUGAGAUACGGCCCAGACUCCUACGGGAGGCAGCAGUGGGGAAUAUUGCACAAUGGGCGGAAGCCUGAUGCAGCAACGCCGCGUGCGGGAUGACGGCAUUCGGGUUGUAAACCGCCUUCGCCUGUGACGAAGCGUGAGUGACGGUAAUGGGUAAAGAAGCACCGGCUAACUACGUG